rnacentral:rRNA from 1 species
AUGGAGUAUCAACCGAUCAUCUCUGCACUCGACGUCCGCACCGAGCCCAUCACCGUCGACGCGCUCUUCUCUAUGGUAGCCAACUUCGAUCAGCGUGUUGAGAUGUUCAACGGCGCCGGUGGCUUCAAGUCAUCGGCCAACGCAGCCUCCAGAGGUCGCUCGGGCGGUGGCAAAGGCGGCUACCGAAACCAGAAG